GGUGCAGUGGCGAAACGGGAACGCGGCCGCCUGCAAAGCGGUUAUGAGCCGGAUCGACACCGGCCUGCACCUCCA
rnacentral:tRNA from 1 species